UACGUAGGGGGCAAGCGUUAUCCGGAAUUACUGGGUGUAAAGGGAGCGCAGGCGGCACGGCAAGCCUGAUGUGAAAGCCCGCGGCCCAACCGCGGGACUGCAUUGGGAACUACCGGGCUGGAGUGCCGGAGAGGUAGGCGGAAUUCCUAGUGUAGCGGUGAAAUGCGUAGAUAUUAGGAGGAACACCAGUGGCGAAGGCGGCCUACUGGACGGUGACUGACGCUGAGGCUCGAAAGCGUGGGGAGCAAACAGG
rnacentral:rRNA from 1 species